rnacentral:rRNA from 1 species
GUCGCCCGGGGUUGCCGCAAGGCCUCCCGGGUAACCUACCACCCUUUGUUUAUUACACUUUGUUGCUUUGGCAAGCCUGCCCUCGGGCUGCUGGCUCCGGCCGGCGAGCGCUUGCCAGAGGACCUAAACUCUGUUUGUCUAUACUGUCUGAGUACUAUAUAAUAGUUAAAACUUUCAACAACGGAUCUCUUGGUUCUGGCAUCGAUGAAGAACGCAGCGAAAUGCGAUAAGUAAUGUGAAUUGCAGAAUUCAGUGAAUCAUCGAAUCUUUGAACGCACAUUGCGCCCCCUGGUAUUCCGGGGGGCAUGCCUGUCCGAGCGUCAUUACAACCCUCAAGCUCAGCUUGGUGUUGGGCCCCGCCGCCCCGGCGGGCCCUAAAGUCAGUGGCGGUGCCGUCCGGCUCCGAGCGUAGUAAUUCUUCUCGCUCUGGAGGUCCGGUCGUGUGCUCGCCAGCAACCCCCAAUUUUUUUCAGGUUGACCUCGGAUCAGGUAGGGAUACCCGCUGAACUUAAGCAUAUCAAUAA